GACGAACGCUGGCGGCAAGCUUAACACAUGCAAGUCGAACGCCGUAGCAAUACAGAGUGGCAGACGGGUGAGUAACGCGUGGGAACCUACCCUUUGGUUCGGAAUAGCUCAGGGAAACUUGAGGUAAUCCCGGAUACGCCCUUCGGGGGCAAGAUUUAUCGCCAAAGGGUGGGCCCGCGUCGGAUUAGCUAGUUGGUGGGGUAAUGGCCUACCAAGGCGACGACCCGUAGCUGGUCUGAGAGGAUGAUCAGCCACACUGGGACUGAGACACGGCCCAGACUCCUACGGGAGGCAGCAGUGGGGAAUAUUGGACAAUGGGCGCAAGCCUGAUCCAGCCAUGCCGCGUGAGUGACGAAGGUCUUCGGAUUGUAAAGCUCUUUUGGCGGGGAAGAUAAUGACGGUACCCGCAGAAUAAGCCCCGGCUAACUUCGUGCCAGCCGCCGCAGUAAGAC
rnacentral:rRNA from 1 species